rnacentral:snRNA from 1 species
GGAUAUAAAGGCAAUCUGGCUGGGACAUCUGUCACCCCAAUGACCACCAGGGUCAAUACCACUGAUCUGGCUGGCUAGGCAGGUGUCCCCUUCCUUCCUCACCACUCCAUGUGUGUCCUUCCAAAAGCUGGGUUAAAGAGGACUACAGUCACGGAUAGAGUAAGCCCACUCUUCCAUAAAGGGUAUGUAAGUGGCUGUGCUCCCCUGCUAGAACUUCCAAACAAGCUCUCAAGAAAUCAAGAUUGUUUCCUGGCCCUUUUUUCCUUAAAUGUUUAUACACUUUACUGAUCCCCUGCUACUUUUCAUCUUUCCAGGGAAAAGAUCUAU